AAAACAACCACCAAAAAAACCCCCACACUGUAAUACAGUGACAUAAAAGCUGGAAUCAAUUAUAUUUGCAUUCUGACAAUUCAUGUAAGAGGACUGUGCCAAGUUUGUCAAAGCCUCUAAAUAAUGACUUUCUAACCCCUGUGUUCAAAAAAUGAUUUAUCUGUUUCCAGUGAGCAUUUUUAAGGUUUUAUGUGCUGACUACAGCUAUUCUGAAACCUGGGAGCAGAAUGGUUGUCUCCUGCGAGUUUCAUGGAUGCAAUGGGGGACUUGCUGCCUGUGUCGCUUUCAGUGAGCUGGUUAUUUCCAUCAGGGGACUUGGGAUGCAGACCACAUUUGACGAGAUAGUUUACCCAAGCAGGUAUGUACUUGGCAUCUUAACACCCCAUGCCUCGGGUUGUGCCCACUGCUGAAACACAGGAAUAGUCAUAAAGAUCUCUUGCUUCUUCAGGACAUCCAAGAGCUCAGGGUGAACCUAACACUGCCUAUCAAGUAUUUGUACUAGAAGAAAUCCCAAACUAUCAUUUUUGGUAGCCCAUGAAUUGUUUGCAUCACUGAAGUUGUCUUUGAGAGUCUCGUCCAUGCGCACUGUUUCUGCUGGCUAGAAUGGCUUUGAAGCAGUAAUAUAAUAGACACUACCAAGCUUUUCAAACCAGCCACAGGUCUUAGGAUGGAGGAUGCAUCCAGCUUUCCUGCGCUGCCCAGCUUCAUGUCCCAGAGGGUCUCCCCUGCUGCAAGCAGCCACCCGCGUGCUACACCCUGAGUGCUGAAAUGGGCUAGCCCGACGUCCUCUCACCCUGCUCGGGCUCCUAGGACCUCCUAGGGGCACCAGGCUGUGUGAAAUAAGAAGUCGUUGUUGGAUUUGCUUUCCUGCUUCUCACAGCUUGCUCAGCCUGGUUGCUUGCUGUCUCCCAGGCUCUGUUUCACUUCUGUAGUUCUUGUUAACUUCUAAGUGAAUCUGAGCUGAAGGAUUACAGCUUCCCUGCUGUGGCAGGUAGCGUGGAUGAGAUCCUGUGUACUCAUCUGAAGCUACAUACUCAGCUAUAGGGGAAAUAACAGGCUCUCGAGAGUCUGCUAACAAAACUAAGGCAAUUAUAAAGCGUCCUCGUUCUUUGCAGCAAACCCCAGUCAGCAGGUUUCUGCUAGCAGCUUUCUUUUGGGAACAGGAACAACCAUGGGAGGAAAAGCUGGCUUUUGCCAUCCCGGUGAGGCACUGCGGUGAAGCCUCCUGUGCAGGAACCUCAGGAAGGAGAGGUAAACCCUCGCACCCAGCUGUCUGCCACCGCACAACUUCAUAGUGCUUUUGCAGCACAACAGCCUCCCCCCCGGGUAAAGCAGCAGCCUUUGCUUUCACCUGGGUCCUGCUUCACACGGGAGGUAUGAAAUCAGCAUCAAAACAGAAUGACUUCUCGGAAAGGAGAUAAUUAAGAGGAAAGCUCAACAUGUUUGGAAACCUAAAUACCCCUCAUUUUCUAAUGGUUGUUUUCAGUAUUCAAAUUUAUUGUCAACAGCGUACUGUAAUAUGUUCAAGCUCCUUUGUUAUUCAUUUGAAAUGGCUCAGAGCGAACCCUUCCCUCUGACCAUUGCCUGCCAGUGUGAAACGAGACUUGGGGGCAAAAAUGGAUCCUCUCUUAGUGGUGACAAUUUUCUUAAGGUUUAAGGAAACUGUGAGCUUGAAGCAAGACGGUGGGAUCUGUCAGCUGCUUGCAAGCAGCCCAGGAGAAUAUGAGAGCCUGGUCUGAUUUCCAAGAUCCUAAGCAUCGCUGCAUAUCUCCUGUGAUGACAAUCAUGUCAGAAGCCAGAGCAUGAAAAUACAAAUGUCAAGCGAAAGGAUAUAAUUUUUCAUGCCUGGCUGAAACCAAACACCCCAAUCUCCCACUACAAUUUUACUCCUGUAAGCGGUGCAGAUAACCUCGGUUACGGGAAGCUAUUCACGGCAGGAGCUGAAAGCACGAUAAAAGGCUUACAGAGUAUUGCCUCUAAUGUGGGAUCAUCUAAAAGCACAAACGUCCGUUGUUCAAUUCCUUAAAUAUUCAGCUUCUGUGUGAAGCUUAUUUUGUUCAGUCUUUUUUUCCUCCCUCUUACACACACCAGGGAUUUUGCUGCUUCUGCACCUUGCUGCCAUGGGGGAAGCUGAGCAGCAGUGUUGCCGCCCGGGAGAAGCCCGAGUCGGCAGUGGGCCCGGGGCAGGAGAGAGGCUCUGGGGCUCGCUGUCCCUGCAGGUCUCCUCCCUCCCAGCUUCCCAAAAGAGCCCAGGCGCAUGUGGCAGCACCGGCCGGUUUUGACUUUCCCUCAUUGUGGAAAAUCCCCUUUCGUGGAAAGAUAACUCGGAUCCAGACAGAGGCAUGCGUCUGGCGAAUCGGGUAUGAUGAUAGUGGUAGAGGCUGAGCCUCAGAACUGGCUCUUCUCCUGUGUGCUGGGGCUUCAGGAGCCCAUCCCACAGGGUCAUCCAACAAAUAUAACACAUCACAUGUGCGGACUUUGUGCAAACUGCACAAAAAUGGCUCUUCCCCAUCUGAGAAUAAUUUUCAUAUUAUUUUCCCAUGGUUUGGAGUCCCUGCAGGACCAGACAGCCCAGGAAGUGCAGCUCCUGACCUUCAGACCUGUCACCCCAGUCUGACAGGGGGUGCAACAGCCCCUGCCACCACCCUGCCCCCUUUCCAUGCCACUGUGGUCACUGGAGGACCAGUUCGUACCACUGAAGGGAUCCCAUCACUCACUGCAUUUGCAGAGGAUUCCGCUAAAGCUGUGGAAUCCUGUUGCCGCCUGAACUAAUGCUCACCCUGAUGAGAGUGUCUAAAGCUGUCCUGAAGACAGAUAGCUCUCCUAAGCCCGAAAAUUACUUUUUAUGUAACGGAUGCAUCAGUGGGAGGAGUAUUUCAUAUGAAAACUACACCCUUCAGUGUUCCCACCUAGGUGCAGCCCCAGCAGAAAUGAAGGCUCUGCCUGCCCUGGAGAGGGCAGAGCCAGGAGAGCUUGUCCGAGCCAUGGAGAUCACUCCAACCAUUGGACAGCACAACCUUCCCACAGAGGACAACUCUCCGACCAGGUUUUCUUGCUGUUUCUUGCCUGUGGAGGAGCUUUGGAGAGGAAGAGCCUCUCUUGCAGGCACUACCUGCUCCAGCCUCAGCUGCUGUGAAUGACUUGCAAGAAGCAGCACCUCUAAACCAGUAUUUUUAGCUUCAAAAGAUGGAAAAACUGGAGUUCCAUGAGAGCCAGCCCCCCUGCCUGCACUCAGGGGACAGGUUGGUGGUGGUGCAGGAGCAACCGCCAUUCCCAGCAAAGGGUGACCGAGGAGGACUGAGCUCGCUAUCACAGGGAACAAAAGGUAUUUGUAAUGAGAUGACAGGCUGGGAAAGCAGGAGGAUUAACUCAAACAUCUCUACUGAUUUGAUUUAAUUCUGCCCAAAGUCCCCGAGCAAUAAUAAGCUUAAGUUAAAUGUUUACAUCUGCAAAUGUGGGUCAUAGAGUGCUUUUUAUCUAACUCCUUCUUAUCUUUCAGGCAUUCGCUGCAGGAGCUGAGACAAAGCCAGAUCUCGUAGCACUGAUGGAGCUUGCGCCCAGCCCGGGAUGGGCUCCCGGGGCGCAGGGGCCGAGCGCGGAGCUGUGUAGGGUGGCAAAUGCUCGCUUUGUGCUGAGGGAGAGCGGGUGGCCCAGCCUGAGCUGCCUGGUCCGUGCCUGCCCGCAGGCCAGUCCCUAACAGAGAGGCUGCCGCUGGGUCCUCUCCCAACAUCACCGUGCCAUGAGCAGGCAGCGCUGGUGCAUUGCUCCCUAGGACUCGUGGCUAAAUGCAGAUGCUCUUCAGGAGAGAACCAAAACUUCUGCAUCAGCAUUUUCAGCUGUCUGACAGUGCUGACCCGAUGGUGUUGGGUACCAAAUGUUGCACUGGGUGGGUUAGCACUAUUAAAAGCAAACAUCCCUUAUCUUGGGAAUAAAAGCUCAUGGUCAUUUAGGGAUUGGCUUUGUUUUGUGUGCAAGGGGUAAGUUUCGUGUCACAGGACUGCCUUACAGUUUGUCUUUGCUAAACUGCAUCUCCUUGCUUUUCCUGGAUCCUGCCAGCAGCUGGAUUAUAUAUGACUUUUCUUUUUAGCACUCUUUUUUGCAGGGUUCGCUGUUAUGCUUCCAGAGAAGAAGCACUGAUCUUCAGAAAUCACAGCUCCCAUGCCCUCCACUGAUUGUAUAGCCUCUGAACCUGCAGGUGAUGCUCACCCCUCCAUAGGCUUGCUGCAGAUUUAAGUCCCAGGACCAACCUCAUCAAGGUAGGGACCUCCAGCUGUUUACACUUGAGCGUGACUUUCAAAGCCUGACUUUCAAAGCCCUGGUGGACUGGAGCCUGUCACCAAGAGAGUCACAUGAGAGCCAGUUUCCAAGGGUGGCAGCACAUCAGACAGCAGAGAAGUUAUAAAGGAAAGGUGUGUGAGGAACAAUAAUUAUUGUCCAUGCCUGUCCUCUGAUGUCUUCACACAACCUUCCCUGUCCUUGCCCUCUCCCCAGAUGUUACGGUCUCCUGGCACUUCUUGGAUGUUUUUCUGCAGCCAUACAAAUGCCAGAGACUCGCACAAACCCCCCAGCCCCAUGUUGUGCUGGACCUCGAGAACAUGGCAUUCUUCACAACAAAAUGUGUGUCAGCGAGGGCAGACACUGCAGAGGAACGGAAGUGACUUGACUUACGAAAUUUCAGUUGCUGGAGGGAAAAGAUGGUUCUGUGAAAGUGGGAAGAGGGUGUGUGUCACCGGAGGAAUCUGCUUACAUAAAACUCCUGGUGAGAGCCAGGAGAGCUUUCCUUGCAGAGCAUUUGGAACUCCUAAGGAAACCACAAAGAUGAAAUAAAGAUCUGUGUCUCGGUGUUAGAUCAGAAAAAGUAGAAAGAGCAUAAGGAACACAAGUGCUUUGUUGCUCAGGCUUGAAACCUAACUUGAUUCCACGGGCAAGAAUUGCAGGUCAUUAAAGCAAUGCUUUUCAUAUCUAAAGCGUGAGGACAACUUUAAUAGUCAGCAAAAAACCAAAUGCUCUUUACAGGGCAAGGCAUCUCUUCUGAGAUGCAGAAAAUGAGAGGUGCCCCUCUGCCUCUGCCAGCUUGAAAGUGCAGCAGUCUGAACCCCACCCUCAGGAAAGCACAGCCUCCCCGGGUUUUUCGUAUGGAUUUAUUGCAGUGCGGUAAUGAAGAAAUGUAGAUUAAAACAAUGUCAUGAAGCCCGCUAUGCCAGCAAGCGCCCUGGUGUGCCUCAGCAUGGCCAUGCAGGGGUGCAGGCAGCUCCUGAGCCCUUGCAGAGACAUUUAUGGGUCUCUUGCAGUUGGGGUACUGUCAGUGGAUGUGAAUGGGGCAAGAAAACCUCUUAGCAGCAAAGAAAAGAUUUCUUCUACAAAGAGUA